UACGAAGGGGGCUAGCGUUGUUAGGAAUCACUGGGCGUAAAGCGCACGCAGGCGGAUUGAUAAGUCGGGGGUGAAAUCCCGGGGCUCAACCUCGGAAUUGCCUUCGAUACUGUCUGUCUUGAGUCCGGGAGAGGUGAGUGGAAUUCCUAGUGUAGAGGUGAAAUUCGUAGAUAUUAGGAAGAACACCAGUGGCGAAGGCGGCUCACUGGCCCGGUACUGACGCUCAUGUGCGAAAGCGUGGGGAGCAAACAGG
rnacentral:rRNA from 1 species